rnacentral:rRNA from 1 species
AUUGAACGCUGGCGGCAGGCCUAACACAUGCAAGUCGAGCGGAUGAAGGGAGCUUGCUCCUGGAUUCAGCGGCGGACGGGUGAGUAAUGCCUAGGAAUCUGCCUGGUAGUGGGGGAUAACGUCCGGAAACGGGCGCUAAUACCGCAUACGUCCUGAGGGAGAAAGUGGGGGAUCUUCGGACCUCACUCUAUCAGAUGAGCCUAGGUCGGAUUAGCUAGUUGGUGGGGUAAAGGCCUACCAAGGCGACGAUCCGUAACUGGUCUGAGAGGAUGAUCAGUCACACUGGAACUGAGACACGGUCCAGACUCCUACGGGAGGCAGCAGUGGGGAAUAUUGGACAAUGGGCGAAAGCCUAAUCCAGCCAUGCCGCGUGUGUGAAGAAGGUCUUCGGAUUGUAAAGCACUUUAAGUUGGGAGGAAGGGCAGUAAGUUAAUACCUUGCUGUUUUGACGUUACCAACAGAAUAAGCACCGGCUAACUUCGUG